rnacentral:rRNA from 1 species
UGCAGUCGAGCGGACCGACGGGAGCUUGCUCCCUUAGGUCAGCGGCGGACGGGUGAGUAACACGUGGGUAACCUGCCUGUAAGACUGGGAUAACUCCGGGAAACCGGGGCUAAUACCGGAUGCUUGAUUGAACCGCAUGGUUCAAUCAUAAAAGGUGGCUUUUAGCUACCACUUGCAGAUGGACCCGCGGCGCAUUAGCUAGUUGGUGAGGUAACGGCUCACCAAGGCGACGAUGCGUAGCCGACCUGAGAGGGUGAUCGGCCACACUGGGACUGAAACACGGCCCAGACUCCUACGGGAGGCAGCAGUAGGGAAUCUUCCGCAAUGGACGAAAGUCUGACGGAGCAACGCCGCGUGAGUGAUGAAGGUUUUCGGAUCGUAAAACUCUGUUGUUAGGGAAGAACAAGUACCGUUCGAAUAGGGCGGCACCUUGACGGUACCUAACCAGAAAGCCACGGCUAACUACGUGCCAGCAGCCGCGGUAAUACGUAGGUGGCAAGCGUUGUCCGGAAUUAUUGGGCGUAAAGCGCGCGCAGGCGGUUUCUUAAGUCUGAUGUGAAAGCCCCCGGCUCAACCGGGGAGGGUCAUUGGAAACUGGGGAACUUGAGUGCAGAAGAGGAGAGUGGAAUUCCACGUGUAGCGGUGAAAUGCGUAGAGAUGUGGAGGAACACCAGUGGCGAAGGCGACUCUCUGGUCUGUAACUGACGCUGAGGCGCGAAAGCGUGGGGAGCGAACAGGAUUAGAUACCCUGGUAGUCCACGCCGUAAACGAUGAGUGCUAAGUGUUAGAGGGUUUCCGCCCUUUAGUGCUGCAGCAAACGCAUUAAGCACUCCGCCUGGGGAGUACGGUCGCAAGACUGAAACUCAAAGGAAUUGACGGGGGCCCGCACAAGCGGUGGAGCAUGUGGUUUAAUUCGAAGCAACGCGAAGAACCUUACCAGGUCUUGACAUCCUCUGACAACCCUAGAGAUAGGGCUUCCCCUUCGGGGGCAGAGUGACAGGUGGUGCAUGGUUGUCGUCAGCUCGUGUCGUGAGAUGUUGGGUUAAGUCCCGCAACGAGCGCAACCCUUGAUCUUAGUUGCCAGCAUUCAGUUGGGCACUCUAAGGUGACUGCCGGUGACAAACCGGAGGAAGGUGGGGAUGACGUCAAAUCAUCAUGCCCCUUAUGACCUGGGCUACACACGUGCUACAAUGGGCAGAACAAAGGGCAGCGAAGCCGCGAGGCUAAGCCAAUCCCACAAAUCUGUUCUCAGUUCGGAUCGCAGUCUGCAACUCGACUGCGUGAAGCUGGAAUCGCUAGUAAUCGCGGAUCAGCAUGCCGCGGUGAAUACGUUCCCGGGCCUUGUACACACCGCCCGUCACACCACGAGAGUUUGUAACACCCGAAGUCGGUGAGGUAACCUUUUGGAGCCAGCCGCCGAA